GGGUAGCUCACAGGUAGAGCAUCUGCUUGGCAUGCAGAAAGUCACAGGUUCAAUCCCCGGCAUUUCU
rnacentral:tRNA from 1 species